rnacentral:tRNA from 1 species
CCUGGUGGCUCAGAGGUUAAAGCGUCUGCCUGGAAUGCGGGAGACCAGGGUUCAAUCCUUGGGUCAGGA